rnacentral:rRNA from 1 species
AAGGAAUAUUGCUCAAUGGGAGAAAUCCUGAAGCAGCAACGCCGCGUGGAGGAUGAAGGGUCUAUGACUUGUAAACUCCUGUAAAGAAGGAAAAAAUUCCCAUUUGAUGGGAGAUGAUGGUACUUCUGGAGUAAGCCCCGGCUAACUACGUGCCAGCAGCCGCGGUAAUACGUAGGGGGCAAGCGUUGUCCGGAUUUACUGGGUGUAAAGGGUGCUCAGGCGGAUUUGUAAGUCAGAGGUGAAAUCUUACAGCUUAACUGUGAAACUGCCUUUGAUACUGCAAGCCUAGAGUAUGGAAGAGAGUGAUGGAAUAUCUGGUGUAGCAGUGAAAUGCGUAGAUAUCAGAUAGAACACCAAUGGCGAAGGCAGUCACUUGAUCCAUUACUGACGCUAAAGCACGAAAGCGUGGGUAGCAAACA